rnacentral:rRNA from 1 species
UACAGAGGGUGCUAGCGUUGUUCGGAAUCAUUGGGCGUAAAGGGCGUGUAGGCGGUUUGUUAAGUCAUGUGUGAAAUCCCUCGGCUCAACCGGGGAACGACGCAUGAAACUGGCAAGCUAGAGUACCAAAGAGGGGGGUGGAAUUCCCGGUGUAGCGGUGAAAUGCGUAGAUAUCUGGAGGAACACCGGUGGCGAAGGCGGCAUCCUGGACCAAUUCUGACGCUGAGGAGCGAAAGCCAGGGGAGCAAACGGG